UACAGAGGUCUCAAGCGUUUGUUCGGAUUCAUUGGGCGUAAAGGGUGCGUAGGCGGCGCGGUAAGUCGGGGUGUGAAAUCUCGGAGCUUAACUCCGAAACUGCAUUCGAUACUGCCGUGCUUGAGGACUGGAGAGGAGACUGGAAUUUACGGUGUAGUGGUGAAAUGCGUAGAUAUCGUAAGGAAGACCAGUGGCGAAGGCGGGUCUCUGGACAGUUCCUGACGCUGAGGCACGAAGGUCAGGGGAGCAAACGGG
rnacentral:rRNA from 1 species